UGCGGAGGGGGCUAGCGUUGUUCGGAAUUACUGGGCGUAAAGCGCACGUAGGCGGAUCAGUUAGUCGGGGGUGAAAUCCCGGGGCUCAACCCCGGAACUGCCUUCGAUACUGCUGGUCUGGAGUCCGAGAGAGGUGAGUGGAAUUCCGAGUGUAGAGGUGAAAUUCGUAGAUAUUCGGAGGAACACCAGUGGCGAAGGCGGCUCACUGGCUCGGUACUGACGCUGAGGUGCGAAAGCGUGGGGAGCAAACAGG
rnacentral:rRNA from 1 species